rnacentral:tmRNA from 1 species
GGGGCUGACCGGUUUUGACAGUAGGAGUGAAGAUUGGGCUCGCAUGCAGGCUGGAGUAUGUACUGCCUUGAACGAUUCAUACAAACCAUAAUUGGCGAAUCUAAUUACGCCAUGGCUGCGUAAUCUUACCCUUAGGGGACUAGAUAAUGCUUAAAGGGUUGAGUUUCGAUAGAUGCUCCCCGGCCACAUCCCGCAACCCUGUGUCUUUUCGGGGUUGAUACUGGGGUGUCGAUAAGGAAGGACUAGUGCUUGUGAUGCUGCUAAUCAGGUGCGAAAUUAAGCAGAUAAGCUGAAAGUAGGUGUGUCAACCAGCGGCUUUCGGUCGACAAUUCAAUAGUUGACUAAGCAUGUAGACGGUACGGUGUUUCCCUAUCUGGACGCGGGUUCGACUCCCGCCAGCUCCAC